AGGGUUUCUAUUCCUGCACAAACAUCAUGACCAAGAAGCAAGUUGGGGAGGAAAGGGUUUAUUCGGCUUACACUUCCAUACUGCUGUUCAUCACCAAAGGAUGUCAGGACUGGAACUCAAGCAGGUCAGGGAGCAGGAGCUGAUGCAGAGGCCAUGGAGGGAUGCUUACUGGCUUGCUUCCCCUGGCUUGCUCAGCCUCCUCUCUUAUAGAACCCAAGACUACCAACCUAGAGAUAGUCCCACCCACAAGGGGCCUUUCCCCCUUGAUCACUAAUUGAGAAAAAUGCCUUACAGUUGGAUCUCAUGGAGGCAUUUCCUCAACUGAAGCUCCUUUCUCUGUGAUAACCCCAGCCUAUGUCAAGUUGACACAAAACUAACCAGUACAUAGGCCAAGAAGGUUCACAGUCAAAGCAGAGAGCGUUAACUCUGGAAGAAUGGAGAAUACAGGAUGUAUGCAGAUCACAAACUUGAUUGUUUUUGGUUCUUUUGUCUUCAACUCAAUUCUCCUACUGGGCUUAUCAUGCAAAGUCCAUAACGAAGGACUCUAGGUGAGGAAGUAUGGAACAUUGUCUAAAAGAAUAUUGAAAAGGAAGAUGAACUAGGCUAAAAGAUCCACAUUCAAUUCUGGGUCACUUGGCCAUUAAUUUGGACUGUUUCCAAAUACUUAAGAACAAUAAGGAGGAUAUUAAUAUUGAGUUCUAGACUGACUCAAAGCUGGGUAAUCAAACCUGAAAACUGGUUAAAGAGCCAAAAAAUAGAAAAGUAAAAUAAAAGGAAUAUUUUUCCUGUUCAAGUAAAAUUGAAAGUAAAAACAGUACCACCAAUUCCUGUCCAGGUGACAGUCAGUCCCCUCAGCUCCUUUAUUGUAGUUCCUUUUAGCUAUCCAUACUCCAUUGCCUGAAAAUCCCCCUGAAGAUGGGGAAAAGACGUGAUCAUCAAUCUAAUCUUAAGUUCCCACCGUUUCUUGAUGAAGACCAAGAGAGCCUGUGUCCAAGCUAACUUUACAAUGGAGGGAAGCUAGGGCACACAGGGAAGAGAAAUUUGUUUAUAAAUUCUUUCCUUGCCUCAUGUACAUCAUAUUUCAAGUAAAUUUAGGCAAAAUCAAAAUGUUUAAUUCCUAAUUACCCACUAAGCAAUCUAUUUAAAACCCUGGAUAGAAUUAUCUCAAGAAGCAAGGGAAAAGCUACAGCUAUUGAAUUCAGACCAAAGGAGGCAUUUCUGUAUUAUCUGGAUCCUUAAUUGCCUUUAAACUUACUUAUUUUACCCAUAAAAUACAGGUUAUAACACAAGACAAUAAACCUUUGGAAUGGAUUUAUUUAUACCAUAAUGGUCAGAAAAUAUUAACUGCUUUUCUUAGUCUUCAUGCUUAAUUAUCAGAGUGGAUGAC
rnacentral:lncRNA from 1 species